rnacentral:rRNA from 1 species
GAUGAACGCUAGCGAUAGGCUUAACACAUGCAAGUCGAGGGGCAGCAUGGUCUUAGCUUGCUAAGACUGAUGGCGACCGGCGCACGGGUGCGUAACGCGUAUGCAACUUGCCUCACAGAGGGGGAUAACCCGUCGAAAGACGGACUAAUACCGCGUACACUUGGGAUAGGGCAUCCUGACCCAAGGAAAUGAACUUCGCUGUGAGAUAGGCAUGCGUCCCAUUAGCUAGUUGGUGAGGUAACGGCUCACCAAGGCGACGAUGGGUAGGGGAACUGAGAGGUUGAACCCCCACACUGGUACUGAGACACGGACCAGACGCCUACGGGAGGCAGCAGUGAGGAAUAUUGGUCAAUGGGCGGGAGCCUGAACCAGCCAAGUCGCGUGAAGGAUGACUGUCUUAUGGAUUGUAAACUUCUUUUAUACGGGAAUAACAAGAGCCACGUGUGGCUCCCUGCAUGUACCGUAUGAAUAAGCAUCGGCUAACUCCGUG